GACAGAGGGUGCAAACGUUGUUCGGAAUUACUGGGCGGAAAGGGCGCGUAGGCGGCCUUCUAAGUCGAACGUGAAAUCCCCGGGCUCAACCCGGGAACUGCGUCCGAUACUGGAAGGCUUGAAUUCGGGAGAGGGAUGCGGAAUUCCAGGUGUAGCGGUGAAAUGCGUAGAUAUCUGGAGGAACACCGGUGGCGAAGGCGGCAUCCUGGACCGGCAUUGACGCUGAGGCGCGAAAGCCAGGGGAGCAAACAGG
rnacentral:rRNA from 1 species